AAGGUUGCGCGGCCAUCG
rnacentral:misc_RNA from 1 species